GUAAAAAUGAAUAAAAUUGUGUUAACUUUUUGAACUAAUCAAUGAUCAUUGAUUUGAUCUCAGGUCUUACAAAAUUGCAUAACUGAAGAAUUCAUCGAAGUUGAGUUUAAUAUUAAUUUCUGCCGGUUUGCUUGUUUCAAAUACGAAACACUUAAUUUUAUUCUGUAGCAAAAAUCCACUCAGCAGUUAUCACAAGGCUCCUGUAGCCUGUACCCAUUUAAAGACAUGAAGCACGAUUUGGUAUUUUCUAAGCACAAAAUCAAGCCUAAUUAAUUAAAAGUCAGUUUCAUAGAAAGCCAUGAUACAGUUAGCUGCCCGAACAAUGGCUGAGGAACAGCUCUGAAAACAUUUCCUGUUUACCCUGAUUCUGUAAAGCAGAUUAUUGAGACUAGAACUGGGCACAAAUGUCAUUUUUCCCCUCUAUACAGUUUGUUACGCAAUUUCCCCAAAAGGCAUUCCUUGUUUUGUCGAGUAUGAUGUUCUGAAGAACGUGUUGUCAUAUUAUCAUGCGAAUCUUCUGCGUCUUCACGGAGGCAUCGGUUUCGUUCAAAAACGAGCACAAAAAAAAAAAAAAAAACGCCAAGUUGAAACACAAUACUGGACGUUUGGUGAAAACAGGAAAUUUCCGUAUCACCUGCAGAUGUCGGAGCGGACAGCAGAAUGUUUGUGAGCGUAAGCCGAAGCACUUUGAAGUGACUGAGACGCGGUAGGCGUGGACCGUGCCAGACCUCGAGGCGGUCUCGAAUUCCGCUCCGAUAAUCAUACGGCGAGGAGCAGAGGAGUGUACGGACCGUACUUGUUUAUGGUCCUCGGUAGACGGAACACCUGGCACUUCAGACGCACCACGGUGCGUACGCCAGAGUCUGCAUGCACACGCGUGAACUCCCCACGCUCAGAGAACGAAAACAGUCAUUGCCUCUCGUCUCUGGCCGUCUCUGCGGAAGGGAAAUGGACUUGGAGGACCCAGGGGUUUUGCUACAACAUGAACCUCACGUCCCGUGACAAAGCCAAGACCCUUCAGAUCUGGCUGAAUACAAUCCUUGAAGGAAGACAUUUAAUGAUAAAAAGAGACUCAUGAAUGAUGGUAUGCUCACAUGCUCAUUACGAAGUGAAGGUACUGUUCUGAACAUAUAGAGGCUCCUUUGGAUGUCGAAUAGUCUAGUAUUUAGAAAUGUAUCUCCUGUUAGUAUCUCCCUCUGCAUAUUCCAAUCCUAAAGCUUUUACCUUCUAUGGCCUUGUGCUCUUGACUCACAGCUGACCGUUUCUGUGCCCCUUAGGGAUUUUUGUGUACCUGCUUCAUGUCUCUGUCCGGUCGGCUUUGCUGGAGACUUAGUUCUGCUGAUGUUCCCUUUCCAGAUUUACUCUAACAGCAAUGUUCUUUGUAUGUGGUAUCCCAGGCGAGGUCUUGCUGGAAAAGUGUAGUGUCAACAUAGUUUUCCCUGAUUCACAUUCUGCACACAAAUGUAUACCUGAGUUGUGUUUCAUGUGUUAUAUGAUGAACACAUUAAACAUUCAUUUAAAUGCCCCACAUUUUCAGCUGCUUUGUUUUCUUGUGUGUUUCAGCACCACUUA
ensembl:lncRNA